rnacentral:lncRNA from 1 species
UCGUGUAUUCAAAGUUAACAUAGCUUUAUUCUUGAAAGUUAUUGUAAAUCAUGCUUGAGUAGUUCAUAUCGUGCCUAACUAGAUGGGUGCACAUAUUAAUCGUGUUUAGAGGCAUAAAGUGUCCUAUCAUAUUAUCUCAUAAAGUCAGAACAUAAUUAACACAAUGCUUAUCGAUAUUAGUUUUCAAAACUUCCAAGUUUUCUUUAAAAAACAUUCUAAACAACAUAUUAUAUAAAAAGCAAUUUGAAACCACAUUUCAUACCCAUUUGUACACAUAACUAAACCAUACACAUAUGCUAAAAAGGUCAUAACUCAAAGGACAAGAGGCUCAUCAAGGUUUGUUUUUAAAGCUUCUGUGUUUUCCUUGAAAAAUCGAUACUAAACCAUGCUAAAGUAAUAUAUUACAUGCACGAUAACUUGAAUCAUCAUAUCAGACUUAUUUAUGAAUCUAACUAGGUUAUACUCAUAUGCUCAGAACAUCAGAAGCAACAAAAAUUCAUUUUCAAGGGCUGGCAGCCGGCGCGACCGCGUUGGUUUGUACUAGGGAAGUGGCGCGGCCGCCUCACUUCGGGACAGGUCCAGACUGCGCUCUUUUUCUGCAAAAUCCCAUAACAUAAACCAAUUAGGCCUUCUAAUUUGUAACUCAGACAGCCAUAUUGCUUCUUAAACAUACAUAAGAACUCAGAUAACAUGUUGACAUCAAUUCCUUAAUCAAUUAACAAGUAAUUCAUGAAAUUUUUAGGAAUUUAUCAAACUCACAAAAUUAUACAUUCUUUCAUUAUGACCACAUAAUCAUUAUGCUUUCACCAUUCUAUACUUGAUUUAUGCUUACAGAAAUGUAGAGUAAUUAGAAUUAAGUACCUUAGAUGAUUUUCCUUAAUUAAUAGUAUGUUUCUUCUUCUUAUUGCCUUACCAAAAGCAAGAGUUGCUCUUGAAAUUCUCCUUAUCUCUCAACUCACACUAAAUCUCUCUAUAUCUCAGCAAAAUGUAGCAGCCUUGAAUCAUGAAGGGGGACUCCUACUUAUAGAAAAAUCAUUACUCAACAAUCUAGUUAUUAACCAAAGGAAAAAAGGGAAAUUGGUGUAAAGCUUCACCAAAUCUCCACCUUUAUGAUGAUUAGCCCACAUGGGAUUUCUUGCAAACAAUUUUAGGGAAGAAUUUCCAGCAUUUUGUUCAUAAGGAAGAGCUUGGUAAAGUAGGGAGAUAGGCCAUUGGCCUAUACACGACUGAAGCAAAUUUUGGGACUAUGAUUAUGGGACAAGAGCUUUAACUUACUGCAUUAGCAAAAUGGAUACUAGCAUUUUUAAUGUGGGUUUCUAUUUGGCUCACAAGGUCAAAUUUAAUGACUUAACAUUAUUACCUUAUGUUAAGUUAUGGGCACAUAUACACAUAUAUACAUCUAUACCAAUAUACACCCACAUCAAUGUAAGUAUACUUAUUUUUUUAAAUAUACACCAAUACAUAUAAUCAUAUAAUCUAUGUACAUUGGGUUAGUCCAAAUAAUAUUUGAAUUGGGCUAAAUGGACUUACUUAUACACAUUGGCUUUAAUUAUUAAUCCAACACAUCAUGCCUUAAUUGUUGUCACAAUAUUAUCCUCCCAACAUGCUUAUUUUUCUAAUUACACAUAACUAUAAAAAUUAAUAAUUAAUAUCAAACAUUUAUUUUCUCAGAAUUUAUUCUCUUCCAUAAUUUUAAAAUACAAAUUUAUUGAUUCACCAUAAAUCAUUAUGUAACACAAGGCUCAAUUAUUCAAGCUUAAGCUUCUUAUCAUAAUAUAAUCUUACUUGGUGAUUAUUCAUAUAUUAUAAUCUUACUCUUAAUAUCCCUUCUUAUAUUACAUGUAGGAGGCAAUUUAUUGCAUUAACUAUUUAUAUGAUCACACAACACAUAAUUUUCACAUAACAAAUAAAUAAUUAAAAAUAAAACAAUAAUUAAUCUAUCACAUUAUUUAAUCAUUUUGUCAUUAAUUAAAUUAACAAAUUACUUAGUCCACAUUUAUGCCAUACUUGACACACCACAUAAGCUUAAAUAAGCUCAUUAUCGUUUCCACCACAUUUCUAAAUUAUCACAUACUUCAUUCAAUUUAAUUUGAAUACCACAUUUCAAGACACGCAUAAAUAUAUAUGUAUUCAACAUAAAUAUUCAAAUAUUUUUAUUUUCAUUACUAAUAUUAUUAUUAAAAAAUUCACGGGUAUUACAUAGCACGCGCCAGGCGUCUGACAAGUCGAGCACGUUUUCCAAAAAGACGCAUUUUUGACCAGAUUGUUUUCUUUAAAUAGAUUUCUUUCCAUAUUUUUAGGGAUUCUUUGUAUCUUUUAUAUUUCUAAUGUAAUUAGGAUUCUAUUAGAUAGGGUAUGGUUACUAAAUUAAGGUAUUGAUUCUUUAUAGGAUUCUAGGGUUUCAAGUUAUGAUUAUUUAAAAGGCCUAUUGAUGUAAUUGACAUUAUUCAUUCAAUAUUAUUCAGAUGUAUUCUAUUUUUGAGAUUAUUCUUUACUUUUGGUUCUUUGAAGAAUUUCAAAGUAAUUUCUUAGUUUAUUCUUUGAUAUUCAAUUUGACUUAUCAUACAAAAAUACAUAGUUGUAUGUGGUGUCUUCUACCGCAUCAAUCGUCGAUUGUGUCGAGGUUCAUAUUUCAAUAUAAACACGGGAUUUAGGUGUCGUUGGUGUUCCAUUUAACACUGAUUUCAUUGCUUGAUCGAUUACACCAAGGUUUUCGUCUCAAUAUAGACAUUGGGUUGAAGUGUUGAGAGAGUACCACUUUAUCAUUUGUGAUAGAAACGAUUCGGGCGACGACCAUCUAACGCAAAUGUGUCAUGGAGUCUAUCAGAUGGGCCCCGUGGGUCCCGUCAUCUCAAAGUUUAUUCCUCCGAUCUCGAUCCGGUGAAAGUUGAGCUUCGUACCCAAAAAUUCCAAAAAGCUUGUGCCGAAGGCUACUAAAUAAGGUUGAGUCUGACUGAAUCGGAGUCCGGUAAGAUGGCGUAAUUAGCUGAAAGGUAUCUUCCAAUUCUCGAGGGUUGUCAAUCGGCUCGACUUGACCAGCUUGCAGCUCAAUGAUUAUUGUGGUGACUUUCUUGUGGUCAUGUCUUCAGCUUGUCGAUCCUCGUUCGGACCAUGUCUUGUCUGGGCAUCGUUGCACUUCAAUUUUUCCACGGGGUUGUCUCUGGGGUGAAAUUAUGUCUCUUCCCUCCCUCGAGGUUGUCUCUGAAGUAAAAUUACAUUUUUACCCUUUUGCAAGGUUAGUCCAAGAAAAGAGAAAUUUCGAGUGUCUACAAAGGAUGACCUGACAUAUCUACUGUAGGAUCAUGGGUAUGACAUACAUUUAUAAUUUGAAGCACCCAAGGUUGCCCAACCCUUUUCCUUCCGCAAACUUUAAAAAGACAAUCUAUUGGAUGGCAUGAUACCUUUCUUUUAUGACUUUCUAUCAGAAUAUUUUGUUUAUCCCGAUAAGUACCUCCUCUAUCACAACCAAUAAUCACAAGAUGAUCUUUAACAAAAAAAAAUUAUCGAUGUUGUGUAACCUUGCAUUAAGACAUGUUUGAAUCAUUCCAAUUAAAUCUUCACGUGUUUGAAAUUUGAUCUCUGGAAGUUGUAACGCUCCAUCUAGCUUAUCAAUUUUAUCUUCACACUCCAUAUUUGCACUAGGUAAGUAAUCAUCAUUGGCUAAACAGUUUUCUGAUUUUUUGUUUGCUCCAUAACUCUCCAUGUUUAUAGUUCAAAUCCUACUAAAAUCGGAAUUUAUAAUUAUCAAAUAGGAUGAAAAAGGAGCUCUCCUAAACAACAUUAUGUUUAGAUGAAUUCUUACAAAGAAUAAAAAAUGAUUUAGACAAACUCAAUGCAUAAGAAGCAAAUCAUAUAAUAAAAAUGAUUCAGGCAAACUAAUUGAACUAAAUACAUAAGAAGUAAAUCAUAUAAUAAAAAUGAUUCAGACAAAUUAAUUAAACUAAAUACAUAAGAAGUAAAUUAUCAAUAUGAAUUUUAAUAAGCUUACAUCCCUCAUAUUAUCAAAAAAAAAAAGUUAGGGUUUAUAGUAAAAAAGGAUUGUUCAGGGAGAAAUACUUUAUCUAUUUUAAACUAAAAUAUUACCUCAAUUAUAAAUAAUAAUAAAAAACACAAAAAUCCAUGAAUAAAGUUCAAAAAUUAAAGAGCUAAAUAUGGGAUAUAUGUGAAUUUUUUACCUCAAACUGAACCAAAUUAAAGAAGAGAAAAGAGUUUGAUUUUCAAAUCAAGAUCAUCGAACGAAAAGCUUAGAUCUGUUACAAUACAAAGGCACAUAAAACUCUGUUUGGAAGAGAGAGAUAGAGAGACAAAAAGUUAACGAACAGAGGGAGAAUUAGUUUAGAAACCUGUCACGAACUAGCAAUCUCCUUCUCAUAGUGGAAAAUCAUCCGAUGUUGGGCUAUAGAUUCAUUUCUUCUGUAAAUUCAAUCUCAGCAAAACAGAGAACAAAGGAAAUCUCAUCUCACCUAACUCUUUUGUACACCAAUUAGACCCAAACAUCGAAAUGUUAGGUGAGGACAAUUUGGUAAAACGAAUUUUGUAUUAUUGUUAACUUAUUACAGUUGUCUCAACCAUA